GAUGAAGAACGUAGCGAAAUGCGAUACGUAAUGUGAAUUGCAGAAUUCAGUGAAUCAUCGAGUCUUUGAACGCACAUUGCGCCCCCUGGUAUUCCGGGGGGCAUGCCUGUCCGAGCGUCAUUGCUGCCCUCAAGCACGGCUUGUGUGUUGGGCCUCCGUCCUCCUCCCGGGGGACGGGCCCGAAAGGCAGCGGCAGCACCGCGUCCGGUCCUCGAGCGUAUGGGGCUUCGUCACCCGCUCUUGUAGGCCCGGCCGGCGCUUGCCGACACAUCAAUCUUUUUUCCAGGUUGACCUCGGAUCAGGUAGGGAUACCCGCUGAACUUAAGCAUAUCAAUAAGCGGAGG
rnacentral:misc_RNA from 1 species